CUUCAUUUCCAUUAGCGCUCCAAUCCACAGCAUUUGUAAAUUCAUAAUUAUAAUCCCUGCUCUUUUACCUAAACCCGUGAGUAAUACACUUAAUCCAACCUGAUUGUACCUGCUCUAGCACAGGUGUCAAACUGCUGUGGAAAUACAUGGGGGUUGACUGUGAAAAAGAAAAGAUUUCUUCACGAGGAUUGAAGAAACAGAUGGUAAGAUUUUCGAGGAAGCUUAAAACAGAAGCCAAGCUAAUACAGAACUGUUCAGCUAUCAGACAGGAGGCGGUUACAGAAGUUGAUCUGCUUCACAUUAUCUACAAUUACCUUGCUGCUGGAUAGGAUGACAUAAUAAUGUAAGCAUCGGGUCAGAAGAACUGUACUUCC
rnacentral:lncRNA from 1 species